rnacentral:rRNA from 1 species
GACGAACGCUGGCGGCGUGCUUAACACAUGCAAGUCGAACGGAAAGGCCCUGCUUUUGUGGGGUGCUCGAGUGGCGAACGGGUGAGUAACACGUGAGUAACCUGCCCUUGACUUUGGGAUAACUUCAGGACACUGGGGCUAAUACCGGAUAGGAGAUCCUGCUGCAUGGUGGGGGCUGGAAAGUUUCGGCGGUUGGGGAUGGUCUCGCGGCUCAUCAGCUCGUUGCUGGGGUUGUGGAUUACCAAGGCUUAGACGAGUAGCCGGCCUGGGAGGGUGAGCGGCGACAUUGGUAUUGAGCUGAGGCCCAGACUCAAACGCGAGGCGACAGUGGGGAAGAGUGCACAAUGGAAGGAAGCAUGAUGCAGCGACGCCGCGUGGGGGAUGUCAGCCAGGUGUUUGUAAAGCGCUUUUACCUGUAGCGAGACGUGAGUGACGGUAAUGGGUAAAGAAGCACCGGCUAACUACGUG